rnacentral:tRNA from 2 species
AGGUGCUUAGCUCAGUGGUAGAGCAUCUCGUUUACACCGAGAGGGUCAAUGGUUCAAGUCCAUUAGCAUCUA